UACGGGGGGGGCAAGCGUUGUUCGGAAUUACUGGGCGUAAAGGGCUCGUAGGCGGCCAACUAAGUCAUACGUGAAAUCCCUCGGCUUAACCGGGGAACUGCGUCUGAUACUGGAUGGCUUGAGUUCGGGAGAGGGAUGCGGAAUUCCAGGUGUAGCGGUGAAAUGCGUAGAUAUCUGGAGGAACACCGGUGGCGAAGGCGGCGUUCUGGACUGCAACUGACACUGAGGAACGAAAGCCAGGGGAGCAAACGGG
rnacentral:rRNA from 1 species